UGGCUCAGUUGGUAGAGCAUGGUGUUUGCAACGCCAGCAUGGUGUUUGCAACGCCAGGGUUGUGGGUUCGAUUCCCAC
rfam:Salmo salar isolate Sally breed double haploid chromosome ssa19, whole genome shotgun sequence.